rnacentral:lncRNA from 1 species
UUAUUGAAUUUUUUUGGAAAUUAUUUAUUUUCACAAUUACUAUAACAAUUUUAAAUGAUAUUAACAUUUAAGGUUAUUAGUAAAUGCAAAAAGACCCAACACUAAAGAGCUAAAUGAAAAAAAAUAAAGAACACUUUUCUUCUUCCUCAUUCCUAUAUGCAACUCCAAGAAUCCUAGAAUUCAAAUCAGCCCCAAGAACCAUUCUCAAUCAAACAAUGAAUGGAUGAGAUGCAAAAUCAUUCUCUUUAUCUAAAUAAAACCAA